UACGGAGGGUGCAAGCGUUGCUCGGAAUUAUUGGGCGUAAAGGGCAGGUAGGUGGUCUCAUGUGUCUGGGGUGAAAGCCUUGGGCUUAACUCAAGAAGUGCCCCAGAAACGGUGAGACUAGAGUCCUAGAGAGGGUCGUGGAAUUCCCGGUGUAGCGGUGAAAUGCGUAGAGAUCGGGAGGAACACCAGAGGCGAAGGCGGCGACCUGGAUAGGUACUGACACUCAACUACGAAAGCGUGGGGAGCAAACAGG
rnacentral:rRNA from 1 species